rnacentral:rRNA from 1 species
UACAGAAGCCUCAAGCGUUACCCGGAUUUACUGGGCGUAAAGGGUGCGUAGGCGGUUAUAUUAGUCUUGUGUUAAAUCUUCGGGCUCAACCCGGAGUUCGCGCGAGAAACGGUAUAACUAGAAGAAGUGAGAGGUGAACAGAACUCUCGGUGUAGGGGUGAAAUCCGUUGAUAUCGAGGGGAAUACCAAAUGCGAAGGCAGUUCACUGGCACUUUCUUGACGCUGAGGCACGAAAGCGUGGGUAGCGAAUCGG